rnacentral:rRNA from 1 species
CCCUACGGGGUGCAGCAGGGUUUCAAAGCUGUAGAUAUCAAAAUAGAGCAGGCGAGGUUGCUCGAUGCCGUCGUAAUUGACCUCGUAGGGGUCCACAAUCACGCCAGCGGCGUUAUAGAGCGGCUCCUGGCGGGUGAAGAAUAUUUCCUGGCCCUGGGGUCCACGCAGGGUGGCAAGGUAGGUCUCCUCGCGCGAGCGACCGUCAUAGAGGUUGAUGUUGCCAACCUUGAUAGGCGCGUCCGCAGAAAAGCCAUAAUUGGGAUCCGCAGCGGUUUCGCAAACAGGAAUUGGCGGGGGAGC